AUUGAACGCUGGCGGCAGGCCUAACACAUGCAAGUCGAGCGGGCGGCGGACGGGCGAGUAAUGUAUGGGCAUCUGCCUGAUGGCGGGGGAUAAGUACUGGAAACGGUAGCUACUACCGCAUACCAUCAGAUGAACCGACAUGGGAUUAGCUAGUAGGUAGGGUAACGGCUUACCAAGGCGACGAUCCCUAGCUGGUCUGAGAGGAUGAUCAGCCACACUGGGACUGAGACACGGCCCAGACUCCUACGGGAGGCAGCAGUGGGGAAUAUUGCACAAUGGGCGCAAGCCUGAUGCAGCCAUGCCGCGUGGGUGAAGAAGGUCUUCGGAUUGUAAAGUACUUUAAGUCGGGAGGCGUUACCGACAGAAGAAGCACCGGCUAACUCCGUGCCAGCAGCCGCGGUAAUUC
rnacentral:rRNA from 1 species